UAGGGGGCAAGCGUUAUCCGGAUUUACUGGGUGUAAAGGGAGCGUAGACGGCGCUGCAAGCCUGGAGUGAAAGGCAGGGGCUCAACCCCUGGACUGCUUUGGGAACUGGGGUGCUAGAGUGUCGGAGAGGCAAGUGGAAUUCCUAGUGUAGCGGUGAAAUGCGUAGAUAUUAGGAGGAACACCAGUGGCGAAGGCGGCUUGCUGGACGAUGACUGACGUUGAGGCUCGAAAGCGUGGGGAGCAAA
rnacentral:rRNA from 1 species